rnacentral:lncRNA from 1 species
CAAAGUAUUAUUGUGCUAUUUUUCAUUUCUUUUACAAUCUUAUUAUUACCUUAUACAUAAAUUAAAAAGUUUUUGGACGAUAAAUUUUUGAAGAGUGAUGAUACAAUCACAAAUUCUUGUACAAACUGAUAUGACAUUAAUUCAUUGGUUAAAUGAAAAUAUAAAAUAAUAAAAACAAAACAUGUGGGUCAAGUGAUAUUUAAUUCAACCAAUCUUAGCAUGCCACAUCAGUUUGUACAAAAUAAAUUUGUACAAGAGUUUGUAGCUAUAUCAAAAGAGUUGGGGAUAUUCAACUGUCAAUAUGAGUUAUAAUCUUCAAUAAUAUACAUAAUAGAAUUAAAUUAUAUAAGUUAUGGUGACGUCAAUUAUUUUAAUCUCUAAAAUUUGUCGGUGAUUUCUGUUUUAAUUUACAUGUUCAAUUACGAUCUAUUUGCUUUAUUUUUUUUAAUUUUCCAUUUCAAUUGUCUAUAAUUGAUUGUACAAAAAAUUAGAGUUAGAAUAAUUUUAGCAGUUAAUAAGAUAAAUAAUUGUUCUGUAAUAAUAUGCUACUUUUCAUUAUAUUACUUAUGUGCAUUAGUAUAUUUGCUAACUAGAUUCGUGCAAUUAUAAGGACAUAUUUAAAUUUUUAUAGAACUAUUCGACAUAAAUUCUUUUUAAAAGAAAAAUGUUGAGCAAACCGGUGCUAAAUUUUUUAUAAUCUCAACUCAAUAAUACAUCUAUAACAUUAUACAGUUAAUUUCGUAUUAUUCUCAACUCAAAAGUAAAUCUAAAUCUAUCCAUGUGUGAAAAAAUAAAAAGGAAUAAAACCAACAGUCAAACAUUUAUCCAAUAUUAGAUGUCGCUGGGACAUUUAUGGUUCAAUUUCCUUGAAUGACUUUACAUCGAGAAUUAAUCUAAUUAAUAAGAAAGAAUUUGCCAUAAAGGAUAUCUUCGUUUUAAAAACAUAAAAUAGCAAAAUUAAAAUUACUCUUAACUGAGAGAAAACCAACUAUUAAUUGUGAUUUGACUAGUAUAUGUAUAUGCUUAUAAAUUUGGGAUAUAAAAUUUGUAUUCUAAAUUAUAUGGUACAUGGUGAUUGAUGUGUUAUUUAUUUAUUAGUAUUGUUAUAUUAUCACAUUAAUAAUAAAAUAAAAAUAAACUAUAACAUUUAUUAAUCGGUAACAUGUCAUCCCAAAUACAAACUUUUAACAUGGAAGAAGUAUCAUUAUUAUUAUUUUUAAUGAUUAUUUUUAUGAAUUACCAACUCCAAACUGUAACUAAAACAAAAUCCAAGGGCCACUAGGCCCGUGGCUGAAGUGGUUGGGCUGCUACCCUCACAAGCAUGAGGGCAGCGAUUCAAGCCCCCACAAAAGCAUUGUGGGGGCUAAACAUUAGGGGGGGUAGCCAUCGGAUCAGAUUCGGAUUUAAAGGCAAAUCCGAUUGGAUGAAAUUUGUGUGAUCCGAUCGGAUUUGAUUCGGAUCAAUCUAAAUCAUCCGAUUGGAUUUGCACUGUAAAAAAAAACUGACAAUUAAAGAAUAAGCUAAAUGACUAACGGACUAAGUACUAACCUAAUUCACUCACUCUCAGUCUCUCACUAUCUCUCAGUCACAAACUCACAGACUCACAGGCUCACAGCCAACUCAAAUUGUCAAACAAACGACACAGCGAGCACGAGCAGUCAAGCAAAAGCAAAACGCCAAAACCAGUCUCAUCCCGUCAUCCGGUCAUCCGUCUUGAACCCAUUAAUCCAUCGGCAACCCGCGAGCCCAACGACCACGCCAUUGUCAGCACAUCCUCGUUCGUCUUGAAACUCAGUUGCCGCCGGCCCGCUGACACCAAUUGACCAGAAGCUAGCUAAUUUCGAGCGAAACCCAGGCCAACAAACCUAGUUAAUCGACCCAAACCCAGUUGCCUAUUCAACCAUUGAUCACUUCCAACUGGCUAGUUGCCACACCAGAUUCCGAUAGUCCACUUCCACUAUUCCCGAGCAGCUAGCAACUUUGUCCGUGGUAAGCAAUUAAACCCGACCCAUGACAAUUGAAACAUAGAAUUUCAUGCUUCUUGCCCCCAAACCCGAGAGCAAGUGACUAGCCACUUGGUCACGGGUUUAAGGGUUUUUCUUCCCCUUUCUCUUGCUUUCUUCAACAUUUCUCCAUUCUCUCUUAACCCCUAACACAUCUGUGUCUAUGCGAUUUGUUUGAAACUUGGAAAUAAAAAAAUUUACUAUUCUUCAAUUGUUCUGUUUUUUUUUCCUUUUAUUUUUUCUAAUUUAUGAUUAUUCAUUUGUAACAUUAGUUGAGAAAGACAUGAAUAUGUAUUGAUGUAUAACUAUAAAAUAUAAAUUGCACUGGGAAAGACAACAAAAGAUGAAUUUAUUGUUCAUGUAUUGAAACUUUGAAAUAUACGAUUUGUUCAUAUUUCCAUUCUCUCCACAGUUGAAAUUUUUUCUUUUAAUUUUUUCAUUAUUUCAUUUUCAUUGUCUAAUAAUUCAUUGUUUAAGGAGUUUAGCUGAAUUUUAUUAAUUAUUAAUAAAUUAAGAAACAAUAUCGUUUCAUCAAAAUUAAAAAUUCAAAUUUAUUAAUUAUUAAAUAAUCAUCAUUAUUUAAUGUAUGAUUAUUCAUUUGUAACAUUAGUUUAUUAAUUAUUAAUAAACUAAGGAACAAUAUCAAUUCUUUAAUACUAAAAAUUCAACUUCAUACCGUACGUUGUGGUAGUAGAAUUAUUUUUUGAUAAGUUAAUGUCAUUAAUUGCUUUAUUUCCAAAUAAUAAUUUGAUGAAUGAAUUUGUAUAGGUAAUAAGCUAGGCUGAAGAGAUUAUAUAUAAUCAAAAGUCAUAUUUAUUUUUUAGUUGAAAAUUCAUAAACGGAAGUUAUAGACCAAUGAUGAUUGAUAUGGUUUUUGUAUUUUCAGAUGACUGGACAUUCAAAAUCAAAUUCCAAUGAUGAUGAUGAAGUUGAAAGUGUACAAGUACCCACAGAAAAGACAAAUACAAAGCGCAAGAAGCCAAAUCAGAGAUGACCAAUGAAGAAAAGGUUCGAGACAUGGAAUCAUUUCAGCAUAUUUGAGGACAAUCAAUAUAAAGUAAAGUGCAACCAUUGUGGCAAAAUAUAUCAGUGCCAUCCCAAGUUUGAUGGGAUUAGCAAUAUGGGAACUCAUUUAAAAGUAUGUGAAGCAUACUUGAAAGUGAAGCGAGAGCAAGAUGAAAGACAACAAAAGUUGGCAACCGAGAGUGGUGAAGGAAAUGCAAGUAAUGUGGUUUUGGCCAAAGGAUGGAGUCAAGAAGCUUGUAGAAGGGCAGUCAGUAAAAUGAUUAUCUUGGGCGAGUUGCUGCUUAAUUUCGUUGACAACAAAGGGUUUAGGCAUUUUUGCAAUAUAGUUGUUCCUCAAUUUAUUAUGCCAUCUCGGAGAACUAUUAGUAGAGAUGUUAUGGAUGUGUUCUGGGAAUAAAAUGGAAUUUUAAAGAGUUUGAUAUGUAAGAAUAAUCAGAGAGUGUCUCUUACAACUGACAUAUGAACUUCAGUUUAGAACAUGAGUUACAUGGUAAUCAUAGCUCACUUUAUUGAUAGUUAUUAGUGUUUACAUAGGAAGAUUAUCAAUUUCAGCGUGAUUGAAGACCAUAAAGGGAAGUCGAUUGGCAAAACGAUUAAGGCUUGUUUGCUUGAAUGGGGAAUAGAGAGAGUGUGUGCAAUAACUGUUGAUAAUGUGUCAGGCAAUGAUGUUGCUAUUGAUUAUGUGAAGAACUAAAUGCUUAUGUGGAAGAAUGUUGAUGCACUUGUGUUGUAGUGUGAUUACAUGCAUGUGCGUUGUUGUGCACAUAUCUUAAAUUUGAUUGUCCUUGCGGGGUUGAAAGAGUUACAUGCCUCAGUUGCUAGUAUUCGGAAUGCUGUGAAGUAUGUGAGAUCAUCCACUUCGAGGUUGAAAGCAUUUAAAGAGUGUGUAGAUCAUGUGAAAGGCUCUAAUGGAACUGUGGUUUUAGAUUGUAUCACUAGGUGGAAUUCCACCUAUUUGAUGUUGAUGACUGCUUUGAAAUUUCGGGAGGCAUUUGAGAGGAUGGCAGAAGUGGAUAAACCGCAUGAAGCAUACUUUAAAGAGGAAGAAAAUGGAAAAAAAAAAGGUGGGGCCACCUAGGCUUGAAGAUUGGGAACAUGCCGAAAUAAUUGUGAGGUUUUUAAAGAUCUUUUAUGAUGCUACAUUGACUUUUUCAACCUCUUUGAGUGUCACUUCUAAUCUUUGUUACAAUACAAUUGACAUAAUCAAGAAUUCAUUGAGUGCAUUAGAAAAAAACAAAGAUGUUUAUGUGCAUUUGAUGGCUUUUAGUAUGAGGGAAACAUAUGACAAAUAUUGGGAGUACACGGAGAAAAUCAACAAAAUCUUGAUUAUUGCCUCAAUAUUUGAUCCGCGCUGCGAAAUGGAUUUUACUAAACAUAUUUUUAGUAUGAUUUUUUUCGAUGAUAGUGCGAAGAUUGAAGAAAUGGUUGCGGUGAUGAAAGGCUUGUUGAAUUCACUUUUUGAUGCAUAUAGUGGAUGGAACUCCUCACCACCAUUGCCUAGUAAGAGUUUUCCUAGUGGCAGUGCCAGUGGUGGUGGUGGCGAUUCUAGUCCUUCUCCGCACCUUGUAGAUGACACGGAUCGGCAACAAGGGUACAUAAUGGAACAUGGUGAUGAUUCUUUACGAGUUGCUCGCCCUUUUCUUGGAUAUGCUAAGAAUAUUUUAAUUCAAAAUGAGGGCAAGCUUGUGACAAUCGAGGUGGAAAGAUACUUACUUCACCCGAUUGAAGAUCCUAGUAAUGAUAAACUAAAUGUUUUAUUAUGGUGGAAGGUGAAUGGGUCGAAGUAUCCGAUAUUGCAGAAAAUAGCAAAUGAUAUCCUUGCAAUUCUAGUAUCCACUGUGGCUUCGGAGUCCGCCUUUAGCACUGUAGGUCGUAUCAUUGAUGAAUAUAGGAGUUCUUUAACUCCCAUUAUGAUUGAAGCAUUGAUUUGCACUGAAAAUUGGUUGCAGUCUAAACUUUUUGCCACUCCCAUCUACGACCUUAAUCAAGAGUUGAAAGAUCGUAUAUAUCAAAUGGAGUUACAAGAAGGUAACUUUUUUAUAUUACAUUUUAUAUAUAAUACCUUUUAAAUUUAUUAUAACACAUUUUUUAUAUUACUCAUGCACUAAUUAUAAGUUAUUAGGUUUUUUUCAUUUUAAAGAGUAUGUACAAUCACAAGCUUCAACAAUUACAACGAUGGGUGCUAGUACUCGUCAUGAUAUUUGAAUAGGUAACUCUUAAAUUUAAUAGAUCUUUUGGUUUCAAGGUAUUAUAUUUAUAAUUGUUUUACUUUUGGUUUUAAGUCAAUUGUAACAUGAUAAUUGUUUGUGAUCUUAUGUUAGGAAAGUUGAAGUUGGUAGUUGGAAAGCAAAAGUUAAGGACUCAUCAAAGUGUGUUGUGAGUUUUGAAGAACUUGCAGUCUAUCUACAUGUUUUUGGAUGAUAAUUUUUAUUUUGGUUUAUUUUAUUGUUGGAUGAUAUAAUGAUAAUAUUUAUUUUGUGAUUUUGUGUUGUUUAUUUUUUUGGAGACUUGGAGUAAUGUUUAAUUGUUUAUUUUGUGUUGUUUGUUUGGAGUCUUGGAGUAAUGUGUAUUUUGUGUUGUUUACUUGGAGAUUUGGAGUUGGAGCAAAGUUUAUUUUGUGUUAUUCAUUUGGACUUUGGAGAGUUGAAGCAAUGUUUAUUUUGCGUUGCUUAUUUGGAGGCUUGGACUUGGAGUAAUGUUUAUCCACCUAAAUUGUAAGAGCAUUACUAAUUAAAUGAAAUGGGAGUGUUUGUACAAAAUGAAUGCAUAUGAGAAUAUAAAUGGGCCGUUGAUUAUAGAUAUUAUUAGAUUUGAUUAUUUAAAUGUUUUCAUUUUAAUGGUUUAAAUUUUUUUAUUUUUGUAAAUGGAAACUUUGUAUCGGCUUAUUUUUUUGGUAUAUGUCAAUGCCAUAUUGUCAAUGAAACAAUACAUUGUCAUUUGUUAACUUGCUUUCAUUUUUUUUUAAUGGUUAGUAAAUUUUCAUUAAUUAUAGAUUUCAUAAAUUUUUUGUGAGAAUUGUUAAAAAGGUCCAAAUCCGAUUCAAUAUGAAUCCAAAAUAUAAUCUGAAUCCGAAGUAUAAUCAGAAAUCCAAACUCAUUCGAUUUGAUCCGAAUCCGAGUAAUUCGAAAUUUUCAUUCAAUCCGAAUCUGAUCCGAAUAAUUCGGAUCGAAUUUAAAGUCGGAUUGAAUUCGGAUGAUUUUUUUUUAAAUCUGAAUUAUCUGAAAUCCAAUCGGAUUCAUCCAAAUUCGAUCCGAAUAUGAAAUUGCCCACCCCUACUAAACAUUUAUAAUAAAAAAAAAACUCUUCUCCCUUACGAAAUGCAAGUGGAGCAGGGACAUCCCUCAAUUGUGAGGGUUAUUUCAUCUGGGCAUGCACUUCAUAAAAUUUAAUGUAAUAAUGUAAGUCCCAGUAAUGUAUAUUUGAUUGUAAAUACUAGUGUAAUGUCUACUAUAAAAAUAGUUAUAAAUAUCUAUGCAAUGCAGUAAUUUAGUGCGUAACCAAUAUUAAAAAAAAAAAAUCCAAGGGAACUCACAAGUUAGUGGACCCUUUAAUUUGUUGUAUCAAUUAGAAUGGUUGACGUUGACGUUGACGCACAGCGAUUGUUUCAAAAAAUUUAUACGAAAGCUCUAAGAACCUUAAUUAUAGUUGAAAAAAAUUCACUCCCCCAAUAAAUUAAUUAUGACCUCACUUAAGGAAAUACUCCGCGUAAGGAGAGAAUCGUAAGCAUCCAUCCUAUGUAAUUUAGCAAAAUUUUCAUACAUUGCGGCCAAAUAAUUUGUCAAAGGAAAAGGUGACAGCUGCGGCUUGAGAGAAGAAUAUGACAUGUAUGACACCAAUGACACAAUCAAAUGAUGGAUUGUGUCCAUUUUUAUUAUUGAUGAUUAAUUGUCAAUUAAUAUAAAAAUUGAUUUCCUCAAUUUUUAUUAAUUAAUCAUGAUCCUCAAAUUAUUUUAAUUCUAUUAUUUUUUUUAUGUUUAAAAAACUUGUAUAUAUUGAGUCUUUUUGCCCAUAAAUGAAUAUCGUUUCUUAAAAGUUUUCAAUAUAUCUAUGUAUAUCUUUGUCUGGAUGCCUAGGUAGCUGCUCCGAUUCUGAAAUCAACGGCCAAAUCUCACAUCAAGGAAAUUCAGCUUGUCAAUAAUAAUAAUAUAAGCAUGAAGCUACGAUUUAAUGCAAGUUUAAUCACUGGAUGAUACAUUUAUGAUUUUAUGGACAAAAUAUGGAUAGAGCAGAUACAUCCUCCUGAAAUUAGAGAGUGGAUAUAUAUUAAUAAAGAAAUAAAAAAUUUGGGCUAUACUAUAAUGAAAUUGAUUUAAGUUAAUUUUACUGUUAAUGUAAUUAAGUAGAUUUAUGAUUGUAAUUAGGAAACAUAUAAGUAUUGUGUUGGGUUAUUGGCACCCCUUUAAUCUCCUUAUGAACCCCAUUUUCAGUUAUAUUUAUUUUAUUUUUGAAAAUGUUAUUUUUUUUAAAUAUACUUUUAAUUUUUCAUUUAAUUUUUUUAUUGUUAAAACUCAAAGUAGCAUUGUACUAUUUUUUUUAUUUCUUUUGAAAUCUUAUUUUUAUCUUACACAUAAAAUAAAAAAAAUUUGGAUGAUGAAUUUUUAAAUGUUAAUCAUUGACUUAUAUUAUAAAUAUUUUAAAUUAUAAUUUAAAGGCAAUUUUAAGUACAAAAAAUAUUUAAUCAAUGAGAAAAGAAUAAUAGAGUAAUCUAAAUUUAUAUAAUUUAUUUUAGUUAGAUAGGAAGUAAUAGGUAGAAAACUAAAAAAAAGAGGAUUGAUUAUGAAUAUAAGUAAUUUGUUGAAAAAGUUAUAGGUAAAUUUAAUCUACUGUAAUUCAUGUGAAGUUUAGUUUUGUAAGGAUAAUGAAAGGAUGCCGAUAGCAUCACUCAUGAGUAAUUUUUUUAAAAAGGACGAACAGAAACCUCGCCGACCCCGAGAGAUACAGUGCUCAAGUAGGAAAUUUAUACCUCGCCGACCCCGAGAGACGAAUUAAAAAUAGCGAAACUUCCUCGCUGGGUAUGGAAAAUCCUCGCAGCAGUUUUUGACUAGGAUCAAGACUUGACUCCCACCCAAGAAUUAAUUAAAUAUAGAAUCAACAGUCCACAUAAUAAUUAAGUUAAUAACAAAAGUUAUGAUAAUUAAACUACCACUCAGAACUAUAUAUAAAAAAGUCACAAGAGCAUGUCUAGUGUUGCAUUGAUUCAUAGAAUCCGAAAACAAACAAUAACGAAUGAUAUUAUAGAGAGAAUAAUCUCUGUUCCCAGAAAAUGAGGCUGGCUGAGACAAAACAUGAGCUUAGAGAAUAUGGGAACCUUAAAAGAUCGACUCGCCAAUUCAGAGUUAGCAGAGUACUUAUAGCUGCAAAACGUGUGCCGUCUGUGAACAAGAAGAAGAAACCAAUAGCGCAGUGCUGUCGGCUGUGCCAUCUUAUUCAUCAGCUGGAGAAGUAGUAAGUAGUAUUGCAUGCGCUUGCUACUUUUAUCAAUUAAUUUUCAUCUGUUUCUGUUUUGUCGUUUAUUUACGGGGAGUUAAUUUUAGUUUAAUUAGGGCAAAGAGUCAUGCACUCGAAGUAGUACCUACUAGGGAUUGAUUGCCAUCCUCACUUCAAAUCACAUAUCUAACUCUCAUGAUUAGCUCAUGGGCUUUUCUGACCCACUCUUUAAGGUUUGCACGUACGCUUUUCUCCCGUGAGCUUCGCUUUUUUCUAUUUUUAGGGAUCUGGUUGAGAGUUAAGAGUUUCAGCUGCCCAUUUGUCCCAUGGCUUCUGUGUUAUUUUUUACUCGCCCCAUCUCAUGCAUCUGCCUUAUUCCAUGAAUGCUAUAAAUCUUUUUUCAACGCUGUAAAAGUGAUUUGUAAUAUUUUCAAAUAGUAAGUUUCCACAAAAGUCUUGCGCACCUGAGCAUAAUUUUAUAUUUGAUGUGGUGUUCAAUAGAUAUGUCUACUUUGGAGUAAGAGAAAUGGGUGCAUUGAAAACUUCUAUAAAUAAAAUCAAGUUUAUUUUACAAAAAAUGAAGAUGCCGCAUCAUAAAUUUGAUAUGACAAACAAGCACAGUUAUAUAAAUUGUCUGGGUUUGAACAUUCUUCUCUUCAUAUUGGCAGUAAUUCAACUGAGCAGCCAUUUGUUUCCUCUUCCCCUCGGCAUAUCAUCUUCCUACUCAUAAUACCAUUGCUGAUUGGGCUACUUCAAGUGGAUUAUCAGAACAAAAGUGUAUCUCCUUUUGAUACGCAUCCUGUAAAUAUGUGGAUUUCCUUUGGAGCAGCUCUCAUUUAUUGUUUGGGACUAGCCAUUAAUGUGGAAUCAAAAGAACACCAAGCAAGUUAUUCCCAAAUCACGAGCCAUGUAAUUCUCAGCUCAGGUGCUCUUGCUUCGGCCUCGCUAGCAUCAGUUUUCUUCCCACGCUUGCUUGGGUGGAUUUGUUUGGCCUUAUGGACACUUUUGCCUAUUACGUUAGGCAGGCGCUUAAUCAAACCAAUGUACCAAUGGCUCAAAUAUGGAAUUUUGCAAUUAGUUUCCCAAGUCUACAACAGAUUUAAUCGAUUCUGGCGUAAUUGUGUUACCUUGAAGAACAAAAACUUGCCCAUGUAAAUUUCUCGAAUGUUGUAAUUAUGAAUAAUAAUAGAUUAAUUGCUACAAUUACUAGAUAAUACUUCUCUUGUAGUUACAUUGCUAUGUUUUACGUGUUGUUGACUUGAUUUUCUAUUACCAAUUAAAUCAUUAAUUAGUAAUAGAAAAUCAAGUCAACAACACGUAAAACAUAGCAAUGUAGUAAAAAUCAAGAAAAAUAAUGAAUAAGGCGAAUUCGGGCAACGAAAUCAAAUUUUUUUCUUGUAGUAGGUAACGGCUCCAGUUCCCGCGAUAAAAGUGGGUUAAAAUCAGGUGGUAUUAACCGUAUCACCUGAAGCAGAUGAUUCUAGCCAAUCAAGAUUGGCAGAAAUCACGUGAUCAACUGAACGACUUCCAUCACCGUUGACUCGUUAACCGACGAUACCCAAACAAAAAGAGAAAAAGCCAGAAGCGUACGUACAUGUCAAAGAAAAUCUGAAGACGGGCGUCAAAGCUCUGGUCCGAAAUUUGCAACCAGAAUUCACGGAGCUCCUCUUUCGUAAUUUUGCCUAUCUUUUGGCCUCUCCGCCUCGCUAACGCAUCAAAUAUCCCCACCGCAAACUCCUUCGAAUCCACCAUCCCUGCUUUACUAUGAAUUAUUUAAUUACAAUUUAGAAUAGGAAAAAUGAAAUUAUAACGAACAAAUCAGUACAGAGAAGAAAAUGAAUCUGAUUAUGGAUCAGUUUUAAUUACUACGUAACGUACCAAUGCAUUCACCGAAAUCUUCCCUCGCAAGCAACCCGUCCUCAGAUAGCGAUUUGAACGUAGACUCAACUAGUCUCCGGAGCUCCUCUGCGUCAGAGGCGCCUGCCGCUUUGCUAAUGAAUCUCAGACCGUUAAGCGCUCUCUUAGCGCCCGAUCUUGUCCGUUGAAGUUUCGCUUUGAUCCUCCUCUCAUCGCGCGCGGACAUCGUCCGUUCCUCAAUAUCCGGCGACGAUCCCGAUCUUAGCCAGCCGAACUUCUGCCGGCUGCCUUGGCUCGACCUCGACACUCGCGCGACAGCAGUUGGAGUGCUCACACUGCACAACAGGACGGCGUCGUCUUCGAGCUCAAUCGUGAGUUCGACUAAGUCCUGCGCUUGCUCCAGCUGGUUGUCCCUACUCAAAUCGUUGAGAAAAAUCGGCAACAUUGCUCCGCCCACGCCGUAGUCACUUGUCCUUCGCGACUGCGGGUCUUCUCAGUCAUCUGGUAAUUCAUACGUGCGGCUGUAAUUCGAUAGAGACCGCAUUUUUCAGGUUAGUAAUUUUAUUUUAUUUUUUCCGUUAGCUUCUGUUUCUUCUUCUCCCGAACCUUUUUGAAUUGAUUUUACGCGGUUUUCAGGCUCAGAAUUAAUAUUAAAAAACACUAUUAGAUAUACAUAUAUAAGACAAACAAAACAACCUCAAGUCUCAACACCUGCGCUGUGCUGUGCUUCGCCUCGUCGUGCUAAUGAGCUCAUAAGGGUGACAACGGCUCCUCUUAGCGGUUAUAGUUACUCCCCUCGCCGACAUAUAAAGCUAACUUUUCAAAAUUAAUGUACUCCGAAAAGCAAGUAAUAACAAGAAAUUUAAUACUUAAGAAAAUAUAAUCGAAAUCAUGGUCGUUGAGAAGAGAACUACAUGCAACAAGAAAUCUAAUACUUCGUUAUAUUUUUUAAAUUAUAACAUUGAAAUUUUUAGUAAAUACUUGUUAUUGUGGGUUAUAAGCUAAAUUGAUUUAGUCAUAUCUUUUUAUGAUGAAAAACAUGUAAGAUCUAUACUUUUUUUGUCAAUAUUAUUAUUUUAAGUCAUAUUUACUAUAUUUUAUCAACUUUUAUUUCAUAAUUACAUAUAUGGCUUAAAACUACAUAACUUCAACACGAAACAUGACCUAAUUUUUAGAUAUAAUAGGGAUGGCAGAGAAAGCCUACCAACCUGACCUAGAGUGGUUAAAUCAUGUUUUAUAAAUAUUCAAGCCAGGCUCAGGUUUCACUUUAAAACCUUGAGUUUGAUCCAAAUGCUUGAGAAAUGUUUUAAAAAUUAAAAAGAUAUAUAUUAUUUUAAUCAAAACACACUUUUUUCAUAUAUUUAACCCACCCAUGACGUAUAAUUAAAUCCUAUGAACCCAACGAUUAAUGCAUAAUCUGAUAAAAACAAUUUAUAAAUUAUAAAUUUGUAGAACAUAAUAAAAAAUUUUAAAGAAAUGUAAAAUGUCAAAGUUGAAUUUUUCAGAUCGGCCCGGUAAAAGCCCAACCCAACAAACACACAUGCUGGGACCAGACUCAAGCUUUACCAAACUCCGCCUGACAUUUUCCCAUUCCCAUGACACAUGAAAGAUCAGUUUGGGAGUCCGACAGAGGUGGUGUUUUUGCCCUAUGGCGCUUUUAUUCACAAAUCCAGCCCAAUUCGACAAUUACCUUUACCUAUGGCUUAUUGGGCAGAAUUUGUUGGGGGAAUUUAACAUAAAAUUUUUAGGUAUCCAACCUAAAAGAUUAGUCUUUCAAGCAGAGUGACCUACCACCUUAUAAACCCAAACAUCUCUCAUUUAUUAGUCAAUGUGGGACAUAACUCAAUAAUAACUCAACAAUCCCCCCCUCGGAUGAACCACCGCCGGACUUCGAUCCUUUCGUCCAACACACCUGACUUGUUCCACCAUCAAAUUUCGGCUACUAGGGUCUAGUUCUGAUACCAGUUGUUGGGGAGAUUUAGCAUAAGAUUUCUAAAUAUCUAACCCAAAAGAUUAGUCUUUUAAGUGAAGUAACCUACUACCUUAUAAACUCAAACAUCUCCAAUUUACUAGCCAAUGUGAGACACAACUCAACAGAAUUUUCUUAAGCUAAAAAUCUUGAAAAUGACCACGGAAAUCAUUUGUAUAUAUGUUAAUUGUCAUGCUUAAACUGAAAUUCAGAUUAGGCGCUGCUAGAACUUGUUCCAAUAAACAUGAGGUGAUGAUAUAUAAUUCGUUUUUAAUACAUUAAAUUUCCUUUGUGGUUGUGUACAAUGGACAGAACUAGAGCCUCGAGGUGCAAAAGCUUGCCCCAAUCGUAUUUGCAUGACAACCGGCCCCAGCAUGCAUAAAAGUUAUAAACUAUCAACUCCCACUUUAUAAUCUAUCUUACUAUCUUUUAGAAAUACACUUAUUAAAAAUAAAAAUAAAAAUAUUAUUUUUCACUUAUUUUAUUCUCUUUCAAGUAUAAUCAUCACCUCCACCACCCAUCUUCAUCAUCAAGAAGUUUAUUACCAUCAUCAGCACUACCACCAAUAUAUGAUGAGUUUCAAUUUUCGAAAUAAACAAGUGUUGGAUUUUAUUAUUAUUAAUGACAUUGGUUUUGAUUUUACAUGAUCAUCUAAAAAUUUGGUUAAUUUCAAUUUAAUUUGGAAUUUGAGUAGGAGUUGUUAUUUGAUUCAAAUGGUGAAUUAAUUGAAAAAUGAGAGAGAUGGCGAAGUUAAUCUAUUGAGAGCAUGAGCAAGAAUGAAAAAUAUUAUUUAUUAUUUAUUAUUUUUAUUUUUUACUAAAUAUUAAUUUUAAAAUUAAUAUCUAUUUAUUGAAAAAUGGUGCAAGUGAAAUAAAUUAACGGAUUGAAUCCACUCUAUGUUGAAUUGCAAAGCAUGUGGUACGCAUGACGAUGAUUCUGCCCGGAGUGGCCCCCGUUGUGGGCGCAAGCAAAUAAUUUAUCCUACAACUAUCAACAGAGUAAAUAUAUUCAUUAAAUAUUAGUGGGACAACUUCGUAUAAAACAAAAAUUUGAGUGGCACCAUAAUAAAGAAAAUAUAAGUUAGUUUCAACAAAUUCCGAACUUGUAAUGUUAUCUUUAUUUUCUGGAGUGGGAGUAAGGAGUGCGGAUUCUUUCUACUCUAGUGUUUACUUUACUAAAUUGAGGAGGGAUUGGAAAUUCUACUCCGUGGGCCUCACCCAUUUUUGGAGUGGAGAGUGGGAAUGAGACUUCCAUUGGAGGAGGUGAGAGUGGGUCAUUUUCUACCCUUGUUUUUAAUUUAAUUCAAUUUAAUGUUUUAUAAUUAAUAAAAUAAAAUAAAUAAUAUUAUUAUAUUUAACUAAAUAAUAAUUUGCAUUGAUUCUAAAUUAAAAUUAUUUAAAAAUAAUAAUAUUAUAUUAAUAGAGAAUUAAUAAAUAUAAUAUUAUUAUAUUUAUUUUAAAAAUAAUAGUACAAUAUUUAUUUAAUAUUAAUAAUUAAUAAUAAUAAAUAGUUUAUUCUAAGAAAAUAUUAAUUUUUUACUAAAUAAUAUUAUAUUAUUAUUUUAUAUAAUAAUAAAUUUAAUAUAAUUAUAUUAUAUUAAAUAAAAUAAAAUAAUGUUUCAUUUUAUAUUAAAAUUAAUAAAAAAUUGUGAUGUUCAUAAUUAAGAAUAUUAAUAAUUAUUAUAAAUUUACAAAUAUAAUAAAAUAAAUAUUUAUUCAUUAAAUAUAUUUUUUAUUAACUUUGUAAUUAAAAAUUAUAAUUCUUUAAAUACGGAUAAAAUUGUAAUUUAAAACUAUUUACUCUCAAUCCAAGACAAAGUAAACACAUAAAUUGUAUUCUGAUUUCCAUUCCAUGCUUUCAUUCCAGUGUAAGUAAACAGCUUACUCUCACUCCCACUCCCACUCCAUACUCUCAAUCCUAGGAUUCCCACUCCAAUCCAAAAAGUAAACGCUACCUAAAUGUUUUAUAUAGUAGAACCUCUAAAUAAAAAUACUUUAUAUAGGAAUAAUUUCUUCAUAGUAAUAAAAAAUUGUAAUCCCAAUUUGUGACUAGUUAUAAUUAGGAAUAAAUUUUAUAUUAUAAUAAGUUAUAUUUUUUUUAGAUCUCAUCUUAAUAAACUUACCUCUAUAUAGUAAUAAUAUUUUAAAAAAUAUAUAUGCCAUGUUGUAUUAAUUAAGUAAGAUGGAACAAAAUAUCUUUCUAAAGUUACUUAUGUUGGGAAAAUAUGCUCUUUAAAAGCAUAUGUGUUUAUUUAAUUGUAAUAAAUAAUUUUUCUGAUUAAUAAAAUAAAUGAGGUAUUUUAUUCAAAUAUCUUAAUUGCAUUAAUAUUUGUAUUAAAGUCCAUUUAAUCAUAUUAUAUGUAUUUAUGUUAUCACCAUGUGGAUUCACAGAAGACAUAAAUACAAGUUAUCUUAUGAUUAAAUAAAUUUAGUUCGCAGUUGAUAAAUAAAGUUGGGCACUUUAUUUAGGUAUAGACUGUAAUAAAUUCAUUGAAUGAUUUGUCUUAAUCAUGUAUGAAUUUAUUGAUGUAGUACGACUACAUUGAACAGGAUCACAUGUGAGAUUUAAUUAACUUUGUAAUAACUGUCAGACUUAUUAAAUCUCAUAGGCAUUGAUUUUACUGUAAUCUUAAUCUUGAGUUAAUUAUGAUUUCAUGAUUGUAAUUGUUAUUCCAUUUGAGUUACCAAUGGACACGACACAUCCUUGUGGUCAAGAUUACCCGAUAUCUUGGUGGGAGCAAUUAUGAGUAUUGGAGUUAUGGAUUAAUAAUAUAGAAUUUGUACAACACAUCUCUUGAUAGGUUUUCGGCACUUGAUCAUAGAAUUCUCUGGCCAGAGUGUGUCAACAUAUUUAGUAUGUUGAAAAUGAUCAUUAGAGAAAACCAGUAAGGAUCAAGGAAUAAGAUGUUAUUAAAUUGAUUGAACAGUUGAGAUAUCAAUUUAAUUAACGAUGUGGUACAAAGGAUUGUGCAGUAAAGAAAUCAAUGUGGCUUGGGACGAAUUAUUAUUCGAGCAUACAAUUAUGGAAGUCAGUUCCAAUCUUUUAGUAGAGUAGAUUUGGAAUUAAAUAAUUGGGCUAGUUUAAUUACAGGCCUAAUUAUUGUAGCCACUAUUGUAUGUUCCCAAAUGAUCCCCGGGUUAGCUCAUUUAAUUGACUGCACCACUACUGGACUAAUAAGUAAGAUAACUAGCUAUUUGGGUCAAAAGCCUAAAUAUAUCAUUUAGUGGGAGGCUCCAUUUAAUUAGCUUUUGUAUAAGGGGCCUUAUGUUAUUUUACAAGGUGGGUCCCCUAUUGAAAAAGAAAAUAACGUGAGUUUUAUUUAGGGCAUUAUUUGGAGCCUAGGGUUUUCACUAAAGGGAGAUAUAUAAGGCUUAUUUUCUCUAAAGAAAAAAAAAGAAGCCACUUUAUACAGAUCAGAGAAUAAGAUUUUUCUCUCUAUUAUUGAGAGAAAAAUUUUCUCGUGCUAGUUGCUUUUGGUAGUGAUAAAGGCGCCCACACGUCAAGUGCAGACAGAAUUUGAGUCAUAACCUGGAAGAUCAUUGGUGACAGUUCGUGAUCAAACAAGCGUGGUGGUGACGGAUCGUGAUCUAACAGGAGUGGUGGUGGCGGAUCGUGAUCUACGAGCCUAAAUCACUUCAGCGGAAAAAGCCAACUCGGAUUUUCAAGGUACGAUUUCUAGAAUACAAAUUCUUAUAUAUUAUAUGAGAGCGGUCCUUAAAAAGUUUUAUAAAAAAUUUAAAAACCUGAUUUUUCCCCAACAACUUAUGACAAUGAUUUGUUCUUUAAAAUUGUAAUCACAUCUUUCAAUUCGCGAUUAUGUAUUAAUUGGCCAAUAUAGACAUCUUCUUGCUUCUCAACUAUGUUUGUAGCUUCCUAGCAUCAAACUUUUUGUAUUAGUUUUUUGAAACUAUUUUUUUUAUUAAUAUCUAUCCAUUGAAUUUGACUCACUUAUUAAUUUAUUAAUACAUGACAUAAUUUACCUUGUAUAUCACUUGCAUUAGGGAUAAUUAAGUAAAGACAAUAGUUUUUGUACUAUACUUCUAUUGAGUUAUAACCUCUUUAUAAGAAUAAAUUAAUUUCUUCAGUCCCAACAAUAUGACUAUAUAAAGAUUUUAUUGUAGUAUACUUAUUCUAAUAUUAGUAUUUAAAAAAAUGUAAUUAGUAAGAAAUAAGCCAGUGUAUGCCCAGUCCCUUGGCACCAACCCGCGCACAAGUUUCAGUCCUAGCCGCGUGCUAAGUCUUCUUCUCCUCCUUAUUAUUGAGUAAAUAUCGCUCCAAUUUGGUGAGAUAUAUCAACAUUGAAAAAAAGAGAGCAAGAUAUUAAAAAAAAAUCACUUCUUAUACAUGUACAUAUAUAAAUUAUCAGGUGCAAAUGUCUUGAUUUUUUUUUCAUUUUAAAUGUUGAUACACUAAUAAAUUAUAUGGUCCUAUAGUUAACUGAAUAACGACUUUGUUAAAGCACAUGAUUUAUUAGUGAAUUGAAACUGACUCUAUUAAAUUAUAUGGCACAUAAAAAAAAAAAAAGAUGACGCCUGUAUGCGAGUUUGACUAUAUAUAUGUGUGUAUAAAAUUAAUUUUUCUAUUUUAAAAUAAUUCUUUUAUUCUGCAAAAAGCUAAGCGCUUGUUAGUUAUGAUCGCAUAGUCUACAGUCGACCUAUAAUCAAUUAUUCACUUCACAAAUACAGUAAUUCGAAAAAAACAAAAAGUCAAACCAUUUCAUUCUUAGAUUUUUUUUUUUUCACAUUGAAUUUAGUAGUACUAGCAACUUGCUUAACGUCUUCGCAUUAGUUUAUUCAUUUUACUUUGCAAUAAGAAGCAGUAUAAUUAGCUAUGUAUUGCCAGCAACUUCCAGACCGUUACAAAAAAUUAUAUAUAUGUUUUUGUAUGUUAAGACCUGUAAUUAAAAUAAGUCAUAUUAGUAAUAUUCUAAGUUGCUAAGCAAUCUUGACUUAGUUUGCAUAAAUUGACUCCAAUUCACUUUGCAUGGGGAGAGAGAAACACAAAGCGAGUCUCAUUUUGCUUUAGAAUUUAAAUGGAAGCACAUUUGUAAAGGAAAUUUCGCUUAUCAAGUGAACAAGUCGGUGGCCAGAGCUAUCGAAAUUCAAUGUAGGUUUCGGCUUUAUGAUUAUGAUAGGUAUAGGCAACUUACGAAAUAAGCAAAUGAGAAACGCAUAAUUAAGCGCCGCAGCACAAUUGGAGUAGAAGACAUCACAACAUUCCUGAAUUUUUCUUUUUGUUUUGCUUGAAUAUUCUCAAUCAUGUCUAUAAAAUCACCUUAAUUUUGUUAUAAACUAAUAUAUUUGAUAUUGUUUGAGAAAGAGUAUUAAAAGAGUUGGGGAUAUUCAACUGUCACUAUGAGUUAUAAUCUUCAAUAAUAUACAUAAUAGAAUUAAAUUAUAUAAGUUAUGGUGAAGUCAGUUAUUUUAAUCUCUAAAAUUUGUCGGUGAUUUCUGUUUUAAUUUACAUGUUCAAUUAGGAUCUAUUUGCUUUUUUUUUUAAUUUUCCAUUUCAAUUGUCUAUAAUUGAUUGUACAAAAAAUUAGAGUUACAAUAAUUUUAGCGGGUAAUAAGAUAAAUAAUUAUUUUGUAAUAAUAUGCUAUUUUUCAUUAUAUUACGUAUGUCCACUAGUAUAUUUGCUACCUAGAUUCGUGCAACUACAAGGACAUAUUUAAAUUUUCAUAGAGCUAUUCGACAUAAAUUCUUUUUAAAAGAAAAUGUUGAGCUAACCAGUGCUAAAUUUUUUAUAAUCUCAACUCACAAAUACAUCCAUAACAUUAAACAGUUAAUUUCGUAUUAUUCUCAACUCAAAAGUAAAUCUAAAUCUAUCCAUAUCCAUGUGUGAAAAAAUAAAAAGGAAUAAAACCAACAGUCAAACAUUUAUCCAAUAUUAGAUGUCGCAGGGACAUAUAUGGUUCAAUUUCCUUGAAUGACUUUACAUCGAGAAUUAAUCUAAUUAAUAAGAAAGAAUUUGACAUAAAGGAUAUUUUCGUUUUAAAAACAUAAAAUAGCAAAAUUAAAAUUACUCUUAACUGAGAGAAAACCAACUAUUAAUUGUGAUGUGAAUAGUAUAUGUAUAUGCUUAUAAAUUUGGGAUAUAAAAUUUGUAUUCUAAAGUAUUUGUUACAUGGUGAUUGAUGUGUUAUUUAUUUAUUAGUACUGUAAUAUUAUCACAUUAAUAAUAAAAUAAAAAUAAACUAUAACAUUUAUUAAUUGGUAACAUGUCAUCUCAAAUACAAACUUUUUACAUGGAAGAAGUAUCAUUAUUAUUGUUAUUAUUAUUAUUUUUAAUGAUUAUUUUUAUGAUUUACCAACUCCAAACCGUAACUAAAACAAAAUCCAAGGGAACUCACAAGCUAGGGGACCCUUUAAUUUGUUGUAUCAAUUAGAGUGGUUGACGUUGACGUUGACGCACAGCGAUUGUUUCAAAAAAAUUAUACGAAAGCUCUAAGAACCUUAAUUAUAGUUGAAAAAAAUUCACUCCCCCAAUAAAUUAAUUAUGACCUCACUUAAGGAAAUACUCCGCGUAAGGAGAGAAUCGUAAGCAUCGAUCCUAUGUAAUUUAGCAAAAUUUUCAUACAUUGCGGCCAAAUAAUUUGUCAAAGGAAAAGGUGACAGCUGCGGCUUGAGAGAAGAAUAUGACAUGUAUGACACCAAUGACACAAUCAAAUGAUGGAUUGUGUCCAUUUUUAUUAUUGAUGAUUAAUUGUCAAUUCAUAUAAAAAUUGAUUUCCUCAAUUUUUAUUAAUUAAUCAUGAUCCUCAAAUUAUUUUAAUUAUAUUAUUUUUUUAUGUUUAAAAUACUUGUAUAUAUUGAGUCUUUUUGCCCAUAAAUGAAUGUCGUUUCUUAAAAGUUUUCAAUAUAUCUAUGUAUAUCUUUGUCUGGAUGCCUAGGUAGCUGCUCCAAUUCUGAAAUCAACGGCCAAAUCUCACAUCAAGGAAAUUCAGCUUGUCAAUAAUAAUAAUAUAAGCAUGAAGCUACGAUUUAAUGCAAGUUUAAUCACUGGAUGAUACAUUUAUGAUUUGAUGGAAAAAAUAUGGAUAGAGCAGAUACAUCCUCCUCAAAUUAGAGAGUAGAUAUAUAUUAAUAAAGAAAUAAAAAAUUUGGACUAUACUAUAAUGAAACCCCAUUUUCAUAUAUAUAUAGUAGAUAUAUAUAUUGGCACCCCUUCAAUCUCCUUAUGA